rnacentral:rRNA from 1 species
UACGUAGGGUGCGAGCGUUAAUCGGAAUUACUGGGCGUAAAGCGUGCGCAGGCGGUUCGUUGUGUCGGUGGUGAAAUCCCCGGGCUUAACCUGGGAAUGGCCAUGGAAACUGGCGAACUGGAGUGCGGCAGAGGGGGGUGGAAUUCCGCGUGUAGCAGUGAAAUGCGUAGAGAUGCGGAGGAACACCGAUGGCGAAGGCAGGUCUCUGGGCAUUAACUGACGCUGAGGAGCGAAAGCAUGGGGAGCGAACAGG